UACGUAGGGGGCAAGCGUUGUCCGGAAUUAUUGGGCGUAAAGGGAGCGUAGGUGGAUAUUUAAGUGGGAUGUGAAAUACUCGGGCUUAACCUGAGUGCUGCAUUCCAAACUGAAUAUCUAGAGUGCAGGAGAGGAAAGUAGAAUUCCUAGUGUAGCGGUGAAAUGCGUAGAGAUGCGGAGGAACACCGAUGGCGAAGGCAGCCCCCUGGGCUGACACUGACGCUCAGGCACGAAAGCGUGGGGAGCAAACAGG
rnacentral:rRNA from 1 species